rnacentral:rRNA from 1 species
UUGACGGGGGCCCGCACAAGCGGCGGAGCAUGCGGAUUAAUUCGAAGCAACGCGCAGAACCUUACCAGCUCUUGACAUCCCAAGACCGCUACAGAGAUGUAGUUUUUCCCUUCGGGGACUUGGAGACAGGUGCUGCAUGGCUGUCGUCAGCUCGUGUCGUGAGAUGUUGGGUUAAGUCCCGCAACGAGCGCAACCCUCGCCUCUAGUUGCCAGCAUUCGGUUGGGCACUCUAGAGGGACUGCCGGUGAUAAGCCGAGAGGAAGGUGGGGAUGACGUCAAGUCCUCAUGGCCCUUACGGGCUGGGCUACACACGUGCUACAAUGGCGGUGACAGUGGGCAGCUACUUCGCGAGGAGAAGCCAAUCCCAAAAAGCCGUCUCAGUUCGGAUUGCACUCUGCAACUCGAGUGCAUGAAGUCGGAAUCGCUAGUAAUCGCGUAACAGCAUGACGCGGUGAAUACGUUCCCGGGCCUU